rnacentral:rRNA from 1 species
UACGUAGGUGGCAAGCGUUGUCCGGAUUUAUUGGGUUUAAAGGGUGCGUAGGCGGUCCUAUAAGUCAGUGCUGAAAUAUCCCGGCUUAACCGGGAGGGUGGCAUUGAUACUGCAGGACUUGAGUAAAGUUGAGGUAGGCGGAAUUGACGGUGUAGCGGUGAAAUGCUUAGAUAUCGUCAAGAACACCGAUAGUGUAGACAGCUUACUAGCUUAACUUGACGCUGAGGCACGAAAGUGUGGGGAUCAAACAGG